rnacentral:rRNA from 1 species
GACGAACGCUGGCGGCGUGCCUAAUACAUGCAAGUAGAACGCUGAAGGAGGAGCUUGCUUCUCUGGAUGAGUUGCGAACGGGUGAGUAACGCGUAGGUAACCUGCCUGGUAGCGGGGGAUAACUAUUGGAAACGAUAGCUAAUACCGCAUAAGAGUAGAUGUUGCAUGACAUUUGCUUAAAAGGUGCAAUUGCAUCACUACCAGAUGGACCUGCGUUGUAUUAGCUAGUUGGUGGGGUAACGGCUCACCAAGGCGACGAUACAUAGCCGACCUGAGAGGGGGAUCGGCCACACUGGGACGGGGACACGGCCCAGACUCCUACGGGAGGCAGCAGUAGGGAAUCUUCGGCAAUGGACGGAAGUCUGACCGAGCAACGCCGCGUGAGUGAAGAAGGUUUUCGGAUCGUAAAGCUCUGUUGUAAGAGAAGAACGAGUGUGAGAGUGGAAAGUUCACACUGUGACGGUAGCUUACCAGAAAGGGACGGCUAACUACGUG